rnacentral:rRNA from 1 species
GACGAACGCUGGCGGCGUGCCUAAUACAUGCAAGUAGAACGCUGAAGGAGGAGCUUGCUCUUCUGGAUGAGUUGCGAACGGGUGAGUAACGCGUAGGUAACCUGCCUUGUAGCGGGGGAUAACUAUUGGAAACGAUAGCUAAUACCGCAUAACAGUAGAUGUUGCAUGACAUUUACUUAAAAGGUGCAAUUGCAUCACUACCAGAUGGACCUGCGUUGUAUUAGCUAGUUGGUGGGGUAACGGCGCACCAAGGCGACGAUACAUAGCCGACCUGAGAGGGGGAUCGGCCACACUGGGACUGAGACACGGCCCAGACUCCUACGGGAGGCAGCAGUAGGGAAUCUUCGGCAAUGGACGGAAGUCUGACCGAGCAACGCCGCGUGAGUGAAGAAGGUUUUCGGAUCGUAAAGCUCUGUUGUAAGAGAAGAACGAGUGUGAGAGUGGAAAGUUCACACUGUGACGGUAUCUUACCAGAAAGGGACGGCUAACUACGUG